rnacentral:rRNA from 1 species
GCCUAUGGCCAUACCACCCUGAACGCAUUGAAUCUUGUCUGAUCUCAGAAGCUAAAGCAGGGUCAGACCUACUGGUCACUACUUGGUCGGGAGAUCGCCUGGGAGUAUCGGGUGCUAUAGGCU